rnacentral:rRNA from 1 species
UUAGAGUUUGAUCCUGGCUCAGGACGAACGCUGGCGGCGUGCCUAACACAUGCAAGUCGAGCGGAGAGAUUGUCGUAUUUAUAUGACAUGAUCUUAGCGGCGGACGGGUGAGUAACACGUGGGUAACCUGCCUCAAAGUGGGGGAUAGCCUUUCGAAAGGAAGAUUAAUACCGCAUAAGAUUGUAGCAUCACAUGAUGCAGCAAGAAAAGGAGCAAUCCGCUUUGAGAUGGACCCGCGGCGCAUUAGCUAGUUGGUGAGGUAACGGCUCACCAAGGCCACGAUGCGUAGCCGACCUGAGAGGGUGAUCGGCCACAUUGGAACUGAGAUACGGUCCAGACUCCUACGGGAGGCAGCAGUGGGGAAUAUUGCACAAUGGGCGAAAGCCUGAUGCAGCAACGCCGCGUGAGUGAUGAAGGCUUUCGAGUCGUAAAGCUCUUUGAUCAGGGAUGAUAAUGACAGUACCUGAAAAACAAGCCACGGCUAACUACGUGCCAGCAGCCGCGGUAAUACGUAGGUGGCGAGCGUUGUCCGGAAUUACUGGGCGUAAAGGAUGCGUAGGUGGAUAAUUAAGUGGGAUGUGAAAUCCCCGGGCUCAACCCGGGAACUGCAUACCAAACUGGUUAUCUAGAGUGCAGGAGAGGAAAGUAGAAUUCAUAGUGUAGCGGUGAAAUGCGUAGAUAUUAUGAGGAAUACCAGUGGCGAAGGCGACUUUCUGGACUGUAACUGACACUGAGGCAUGAAAGCGUGGGUAGCAAACAGGAUUAGAUACCCUGGUAGUCCACGCCGUAAACGAUGGGUACUAGGUGUAGGGGGUAUCGACUCCCCCCUGUGCCGUCGUUAACACCAAUAAGUACCC